AGUCCAAUGCUCUAACCAUUGCACUCCACGAGUAGCCUGCCUGUUACGCGAAUGCAGUAGAAGCCAAGAUACAUGGAUCAAGAGGGACACCUUUACAACCAUUUCCUCGACCUGGUCUCAGUCUCUGAUGUAUGUCCUGUGAUACAAACAGGACAACUUAGUGGUGUGGCAAAACAGGAUGCCUUCCUGUGGACGGUGCCUGUGGCUUGUGCUGCCCACUGCAUUGCUCUGGCCUGUAAAGAUGCAUCAGCUGAGGUCCCCUAUAUGGACACUAUCAAGGAGCACCUGCAGCAGCUCCAUAGUUACUUUGCCAAAAGCAGUAACAAGACAGAAGUCUUGAAAGCUGCUUCAGCGACCUUGGGACUUCAGUACUUAAAAGUGAAGGAAGUGAAAGAUGUUUGCUGGCUGUCCCAGCACCUGGCCGUGGCUAAUCUUCAGCGAAACCUCAGCGCAGUAAUGGCUGAGGUGAACCGGUGCCCAACUGCUACGCUGCACUUUACCUGCAGGGGGACGUGCUGCCACGCCUGACGCGGCUUUCAAAAGUAUUCUGAAAGGAGGAUGUAAACUUCUUGGCCAUAAAAGAGCAGGUCCCUGUGACAAUGGCAUCACUCCUCGCCAUAAAACAUUCUGGUGCUCCCAGGGGUCAUUUCUGAGCCAAGUCCACCAGGACCUCGAUGACCCAAUGGGUCUGGGCAAACUCAACAUCGAGGAGAGGGAGAGGCCCGUUGGAGAAGACCAAGACCAGGGAGCAAUUCUGGGCUCGGUUCAGAGAGGAGGUCAUGAAUCCAUAUCUUGUUGGCCUCAAGGACAGCCUAGACUGGAGGUUCCAGCACCUGGAGAUUCUGGGGGCCUUCAGUGUGUUGGGACCUCAGGCUGUGUUCUCUAGUGAGAAGAUAAACACCUUUAACCUGACCCUCCUCUCCAGGCAGUUCUUGCAAGCGCCAGAGGCUGCUAUGCUGCAAGAGUGGCCCUCUUACAAGCAACAUGUGCUAGUUGGAGCAUUCAAGGGCUUGGACCAGCUGACGGCAAAGACAAAGCUGGCCUCGCAGUUUGAUGAUUGGGGGCAGCUCUAGCGCCGUCUUACCCAGCUGGUAGCAAUCGCACUGACUAUACCAGUGUCUUCCGUUAAUUGUGAGAGGGACUUCUCUGCAAUGCAACAAGUCAAAACAGACUUGAGGAACAGCAUCUAGCUACCUGCAUGCAGCUCUUCAUCAACAGCCACCCCCAACAAGGAGCUUCGAGGCAGGUCGUUGGAAAUCUUUUUCCCGAAAGCCCAAUAGAACAAUGUGCUCUGACAAAGGCUGUAAACUAUGUCAGAAAUAGGUUGUCGUCAGAAUCUGGAAAGAGAUUUCCAACACUCUUUUGUGAGGAACAUGAAUUAGUGGACUAAUUCAUGUUCAGUCAAAUGUUCCUCUGUUAAUUUUGUCAAGAUAAACUUUUUAUUUCA